rnacentral:rRNA from 1 species
CCUACGGGAGGCAGCAGUGAGGAAUAUUGGUCAAUGGCCGGAAGGCUGAACCAGCCAAGUCGCGUGAGGGAAUAAGGCACAAUGGGUCGUAAACCUCUUUUGUCAGGGAGCAAAGGCGUCCACGAGUGGACGAAAGGGGAGUACCGAAGGAAAAAGCAUGGGCUAACUCGGUGCCAGAGGCCGCGGUAAUACGGAGGAUGCGGGCUUUCUCCGGAUUUGUUGGGUUUAAGGGUGGCGCAGGCGGAGUGUCAGGUCAGCGGUAAAAGUUCGGGGCUCAACCCCGUCGUGCCGUUGAAACUGGCACCCUUGAGUGAGUGAGAAGUAAGCGGAAUGCGUGGUGUAGCGGUGAAAUGCUUAGAUAUCGCGCAGAACGCCGAUUGCGAAGGCAGCGUACCGGCGCUCAACUGACGCUGAGGCACGAAAGCGCGGGUAUCGAACAGGAUUAGAUACCCUAGUAGUC